GACGGACGGAGGGACGGAAGGACGGACGGACAGGGCAAAAACAAUAUGUCUCCUGGGGGAGACAUAAUUAGUCUAUGCAUUUGAUAAUCAAGGCAAUGAUCAAUUAUCUAGCUUUUACAGCCAGUUAAUACACUGCUGUUCAAUGUGUACUGUUGUAUAAAUGCACACACAGAGACAGCUGAUAACAUCUGGAGAUUCUGACCAAGAUAAGGACCAAUGGAAAUGCAGUUUUACACCUGUAGCCCCAAGAAAUAAUCACAAUUUUUUUUUUUUUUUUCUGUGAUCUUUGCAAAUUCUGUGAGCAAAAAAAUGGAAAAAUUCUCAUGAACUGUAUAAUUAUAUAUAUUUUAAGAAAUUCCAGAUAUUCCCUUCAGUAACUUAUAUACUGUACCAAGGAAUAUUGCUCAUGUAUACAAAAAUUUGAAUGUAAACAGGAAGUGCUUUGUUCUAGAUGUUGGAGGCAAAAUGGAAUGGAGCUAAAUAAUUUUGUACCGGUACCUUGAAAUUCUAAAAUGCUUUUAGAGAGAUAUCAGAUACAAGAGUGUACAUAUUUAGUUAUUAGAAGCAUUGUCUUCAACAUGUAUGGAUGAAAUGAUGUAAUCAGAGAUAUCUGAUGGCUUUAGUGACUAUGCUACAGGAUGAAAUGAGAUCACAGACAGGGACCCCAUCAAACACUAAACUAAAUGGCUGGAAUGAGGUUCCUGACCCUGGUGAUAGUUCUGGUGCCACCUAUUAUAUAUUGAGCCAACAUAACUCCAAAAAUGAUUUUGUUGUAUUCAUAACUUUCUAUUAAAUAAUUUUUAUAUUUAACAUAUCUUUUAGUUUAAUUUUUUAGUUAAAGCUAAGUGAAUAUUUAUCAUUCUUAACCAGACUUCCACUUGUCUGAUGUGUAGAUUUGAACAAAUGCCCUGUUACGGUAGGAAGUUCAAGCUACAAUUGCCAGGUUAGGCUAAGAAGUGCUGCAUGAUGACAGGUCCUUGGAUGGCAUGGACCCAGUCCACGGAUGUCAUGGACACCGUCCAUGGAUGGCAUGGCCACUGUCCAUGGAUAUGCCCUGGACACUGGCCAUGGGUGCCAUGGACAUUGUCCAUGGCCACUGUCCCUAGACAGGCAUGGAUUUUUAUCCAGGGAUACACAGUUUUUGUCCAUGGAUAUGUGUUCCAAUACUCCAUGGACAACAGACCAUGCUGAAAUCCAUGGAAUCCAUGGA
rnacentral:lncRNA from 1 species